rnacentral:misc_RNA from 1 species
UGUCAGCUUGUGAUGAAACCCCUUAAAAUAUGUCAUUUAUUAUUUGACUCAACCUUCCCAAGAUUUUUUUAUCUUCCGAAUCUAUUCAAAAUUAGUUAACAACUCAAUUCGAGUUUUGAUUAAAUUUGCAGAGAGAGUAUUGAUUAAAUUAUAUAAUUAGAUUAUUUUACACAUUAAAAUGAUUAAUCACUUUAAUAUUACAAUCUAAUCACUUAUA